rnacentral:tRNA from 1 species
CGGAAUUUAGCUCAGUUGGCUAGAGCGGCGGCCUUAUAAGCCGUGUGUCGGUGGUUCGAGUCCACCAAUUCCGA